UAGAAGUGCAUUACGGUUCCAUUCACAA
rnacentral:sRNA from 1 species